GUGGCUAUAGCUCAGUUGGUUAGAGCGUCGGGUUGUGGUCCCGAAGGUCGUCGGUUCAAGCCCGAUUAGCCACCCCA
rnacentral:tRNA from 1 species